UACGUAGGGCGCAAGCGUUGUCCGGAAUUAUUGGGCGUAAAGAGCUCGUAGGCGGUUUGUCGCGUCUGCUGUGAAAGCCCGGGGCUCAACCCCGGGUCUGCAGUGGGUACGGGCAGACUAGAGUGCAGUAGGGGAGACUGGAAUUCCUGGUGUAGCGGUGAAAUGCGCAGAUAUCAGGAGGAACACCGAUGGCGAAGGCGGGUCUCUGGGCUGUUACUGACGCUGAGGAGCGAAGGCGUGGGGAGCAAACAGG
rnacentral:rRNA from 1 species